UACGUAGGGUGCAAGCGUUAAUCGGAAUUACUGGGCGUAAAGGGCGCGUAGGCGGCCACCGCAAGUCGACUGUGAAAUCUCUGGGCUUAACCCAGAAAGGUCAGCCGAUACUGCGGGGCUAGAGUGCAGAAGGGGCAACUGGAAUUCUCGGUGUAGCGGUGAAAUGCGUAGAUAUCGAGAGGAACACCUGCGGCGAAGGCGGGUUGCUGGGCUGACACUGACGCUGAGGCGCGAAAGCUAGGGGAGCGAACGGG
rnacentral:rRNA from 1 species